rnacentral:lncRNA from 1 species
UACUGAAGGAUACAGGUAAGUACACCUACUGAAAGGUGUUGGGAGGCACUUACUGAGGAGUGCUAGACAGGUUUGGGUCAGGCUCGUGACGUUAAACAAGCGCUACCUGGGAGGCAACCCAGUUGAUUAUUUUCUUGUUUUUAAACUCUGUUCUACAGGGCUAAAAAACAUGAAGGCAAGUAAAGAAGAGGAAAAGGAUUUUUAACGUCCACCGUUGAGCGGUCCAUUUGACCGUUGAGCGGUGGCGGCGCAAACUUAGCUCGGGCUUUUAAAAGCUUAGCGUUUUGGGGUUUUCUGCACUUUGAAAUCUCUUCUUUGCAGUUCACCCAAGCCCUAACACUUCUCUUUCACUUUCAAGAGCUUUCCAAAGGGUUUUCCCCACUUUUCCCAUCACCCACUCACAAAAUUCUCAUUUUUCAAACAUUACAUUGGGGAUUUUGGUGAGGGUUGUGCAUUGGAGAGACAUACAUCAUCAAUUAGGAAGAAGUCUUGCAAGCAUUUAAGAUCCCCACUCAAGUAAGUUGUGAAAUUUCAUUCCUAGGGUUUCUAAUUGAAAUUUGUUGAAGAACAU